GAUGAACGCUGGCGGCGUGCCUAAUACAUGCAAGUCGAACGGAAAGGCCUCUUCGAGGUACUCGAGUGGCGGACGGCUGAGUAACGCGUAGGAAUGUACCCCAAAGUGAGGAAUAACCUCGAGAAAUCGAGGCUAAUACCGCAUGUGCUCUAAGGAGUAAAGCUUCGGCGCUUUGGGAACAGCCUGCGUAAGAUUAGCUUGUUGGUGAGGUAAUGGCUCACCAAGGCGACGAUCUUUAGCUGGUCUGAGAGGAUGAUCAGCCAGACUGGGACUGAGACACGGCCCAGACUCCUACGGGAGGCAGCAGUAGGGAAUCUUCCACAAUGGACGAAAGUCUGAUGGAGCAACGCCGCGUGCAGGAUGAAUGCCUUUGGGUUGUAAACUGCUUUUAUGAUUGAAGAUAAUGACGGUAGAUCAUGAAUAAGGAUCGGCUAACUCCGUGCCAGCAGCCGCAGUAAGAC
rnacentral:rRNA from 1 species